UAUUUAUUUAUUUAUUUUUUACUUAAUUUAUAUGUGAUAGCAUUUCUGUAAUUAGUAACUGUGUUCUUGCAAUUCUUAUUUUUAAAUAUAGUACCAAGGGCAUUUUGAUCAUUUUUCCUUGAUAGCUGCAUUCAUCUAGGUUAUCAACUUUAGAUGCUGUUUUAUUUAUGGAUAUCACCAUCUCUCUUAUUAUCUUUGUCUCCUUGUGUGCUUGUGCAUGCAUAUGCAUAUGUGCAAAACUUGACACAAGGAAUCAUGAAAUUUUGAAUCCAUUUUCUUUUUUAUUAAAUAUUUCAGAUUUUAUAAUGGUUUUCUUGUCAUUGAAUAUUUAUUUGGAUUUUUCUUUUCUUUUGUUGGGGUGAGGUUCUGUCAUUACUUGCUAGGCG
rnacentral:misc_RNA from 1 species